rnacentral:lncRNA from 1 species
CCAAUUCAACCCCUAGCCUGGCAACCUCCAUAUGCUGCAAUGUGUAAAAAUGGAAGCUCAUUUGGCCUGAAGGGAAAUGGGCUGGGAGAAAUGGAUGGCCAAGUUUAAACACUUGGUGCCUGACCUGGCUUUAGACACAGGUAGCCCCCGGUGAAAUCCUCUGGCGUUUCAUCUGUCUUUCCUUGAUGUUCCUCAGGUCCCCCGAAGGUUCAGGUUUACUCACGCCACCCAGCGGAAAACGGAAAGCCAAAUUACCUGAACUGCUAUGUAUCUGGGUUCCAUCCGCCCCAGAUUGAAAUUGAUUUGCUGAAAAACGGGGAGAAGAUGAACGCGGAGCAGUCAGACCUGUCUUUCAGCAAGGACUGGUCUUUCUACCUUCUGGUCCACACUGAGUUCACUCCUAACGCUGUGGAUCAGUAUAGCUGCCGCGUGAAGCACGUGACUCUCGAUAAGCCCAAGAUAGUUAAGUGGGAUCGAGACCACUAACCGGCAUCACAGAGGUGAGUUUCUAACCUCACAGUGGUCUUUUUAAAUGUCACUGUCCUGGGAACUAUUAUAGACAGCUCUAAGGUGCUGGCACUCACUGUCUGCAGGACAUUAAUCAAGGCAUCAGUUCAGCAGGCAGAGAAGAAUCCCAUGGGGUCACAUUCCCUCCUCCUGUGGAGUGGCGUGAGGAAGGCAUGUGGCCCUGGGUGUGGCACUGCCAGCACCACGGACCCUCUAAAGGAAGGAGCCGCAGGGCUGCUGUGACAGGGCAGAGGCAGCAUUUACCCACAGCACUCGCAAGGGUUUGCUCUUUCUUCUGCCAUUUCUACACUGGGCAUCUCUGGGCCUUCAAGAGGGAACCGUCCUUUCCUUUGCAUGGCAGUUGCUUUGUUAUUCAGCCACAAGCCAGGAGGGACCUGGUUCUGUAGACGUACCGUUUCUCAGCAGUGUGGGCACUAUGUUUGCUUCUGGAGGCUCUCAGUCCAGUACAGGAGAGAAAUGGAAACAGACUGUUGUAACUCAGUAUAAAGAUACUGCAGCCGAUGUUUCCUGCAAGUAGCUCUAACUGCAUGAAGCACGGAGGCAUUCAUUGGACACGUCUUUUGUGUCUUCGUUUGGAGUUUACAGGGGGAUAAUCCAGCUUUUCUGGGAAAUUCUACUCCACAGGGAACCUUGGCACUGAAAACCUGUUCAGAUUUCCUGUUACAUCCUGGGCCUGGCCGAUCAAUGUGAGGAACAUCAGAGAGUUUGGGUGCCCUUCCCAGAGAGACACAGUUUCUAAAUGGUAGAGCCAGGAUCUAAUCUCUAAUACCAGCAUUCUUUCCUCUAAGGUUGUGGGAGAACCAGUGGGAUAAACUAACUGGGUAUGCUCUCUGUAAGGGGUCUGGAAGGUGGCUUGCAGCUACUUCUUUGACCCACAGUGAUUCCUACAGCACAGGUUAGAUAAAUUGGUGGUGCUAUCUGUAAUUCAAAUAAAAUAAAUGUAUUUGCUAAUUACGUUUUCUCCCCUUGUUUUCAGAUUAUGAAGAUGCUGCAUCUGGGUUGGAUGAAUCCAAAUUCUGAUUUGUUGCUUUUUAAUACUGAUAAGCUUUUAUACUUUAUGCACAUAAAUCAGAAAUCGUAUUGAUGUUACCAC